AAGUCGUAACAAGGUUUCCGUAGGUGAACCUGCGGAAGGAUCAUUAAUGAAACGUUUGUCGAGAAGGGUUGUUGCUGGCCUCCAGGGGCAUGUGCACGCCUUGAUCGCAUCCACCUCUCACACCUGUGCACAACCUGUAGCUUGGGAUGAUUACGGGACCCUUCACGGGGUAACGAAUGCCCUCGCUAUGAAUAUUUUACACACACUAUAAAGUUUAAUCGAAUGUAAAGUUAUAGCGUCUAAAAGCGCGAAAAAUACAACUUUCAGCAACGGAUCUCUUGGCUCUCGCAUCGAUGAAGAACGCAGCGAAAUGCGAUAAGUAAUGUGAAUUGCAGAAUUCAGUGAAUCAUCGAAUCUUUGAACGCACCUUGCGCUCCUUGGUAUUCCGAGGAGCAUGCCUGUUUGAGUGUCAUGAAAUUCUCAACUGCUCCGAGCUUUGUUGNUCGGGGUGAAGUUGGACUUGGAGGUCUUUGCUGGCGUGGGCUUCGGNUCACUUGUCGGCUCCUCUUGAAUGCAUGAGCUUUCCAGUGGAUCUUGGCAAAGUAUCGUCGAUGUGAUAAUUAUCUACGUCGGUCGAGAAAGCCUCGAGCAGGGCUCUUAGGAGCUCCUACGGGAAAUCUUUCAUAUACAUCGGGCUUCAAACACCCGUGUCUGACAAAUUCGACCUCAAAUCAGGUAGGACUACCCGCUGAACUUNANCAUANCANUAANCGGAGGAAAAGNAACUANCAAGGAUUCCCCUAGUAACUGCGAGNGAAGCGGGAAAAGCUCAAAUUUAAAAUCUGGCGUGCCUCUGNUCGUCCGAGUUGUAGUCUGGAGAAGCGUUUUNCGUGCUGGACCGUGUACAAGUCCCUUGGAACAGGGCGUCAUAGAGGGUGAGAAUCCCGUCUUUGACACGGACUACCAGUGCUUUGUGAUGCGCUCUCAAAGAGUCGAGUUGUUUGGGAAUGCAGCUCAAAAUGGGUGGUAAAUUCCAUCUAAAGCUAAAUAUAGGCGAGAGACCGAUAGCGAACAAGUACCGUGAGGGAAAGAUGAAAAGCACUUUGGAAAGAGAGUUAAACAGUACGUGAAAUUGCUGAAAGGGAAACGCUUGAAGUCAGUCGCGUCUGCCGGGACUCAGCCUUGCUUCUGCUUGGUGCAUUUUCCGGUUGACGGGCCAGCAUCGAUUUUGACCGUUGGAAAAAGGUUGAGGGAAUGUGGCACCUUCGGGUGUGUUAUAGCCCUCAGUCGUAUGCAACGGUUGGUAUCGAGGACCGCAGCACGCCUUUAUGGCCGGGGUUCGCCCACGUUCGUGCUUAGGAUGCUGGCGUAAUGGCUUUAAGCGACC
rnacentral:rRNA from 1 species